UACGGGGGGGGCAAGCGUUGUUCGGAAUUACUGGGCGUAAAGGGCUCGUAGGCGGCCAACUAAGUCAGACGUGAAAUCCCUCGGCUUAACCGGGGAACUGCAUCUGAUACUGGAUGGCUUGAGUUCGGGAGAGGGAUGCGGAAUUCCAGGUGUAGCGGUGAAAUGCGUAGAUAUCUGGAGGACCACCGGUGGCGAAGGCGGCAUCCUGGACCGACACUGACGCUGAGGAGCGAAAGCCAGGGGAGCAAACGGG
rnacentral:rRNA from 1 species